UACGUAGGAGGCGAGCGUUGUCCGGAUUUACUGGGCGUAAAGCGCGUGUAGGCGGUUUGGCAAGUCUGCCGUGAAAUCUGUCGGCUUAACCGGCAGGGGUCGGUGGAAACUGCCAGGCUUGAGGACGGUAGAGGGGGGUGGAAUUCCCGGUGUAGUGGUGAAAUGCGUAGAGAUCGGGAGGAACACCAGCGGCGAAGGCGGCCCCCUGGGCCGCUCCUGACGCUGAGACGCGAAGGCCAGGGUAGCGAACGGG
rnacentral:rRNA from 1 species